GAUGAACGCUGGCGGCGUGCUUAACACAUGCAAGUCGAACGGAAAGGCCCAAGCUUGCUUGGGUACUCGAGUGGCGAACGGGUGAGUAACACGUGGGUGAUCUGCCCUGCACUUCGGGAUAAGCCUGGGAAACUGGGUCUAAUACCGGAUAGGACGAUGGUUUGGAUGCCAUUGUGGAAAGUUUUUUCGGUGUGGGAUGAGCUCGCGGCCUAUCAGCUUGUUGGUGGGGUAAUGGCCUACCAAGGCGUCGACGGGUAGCCGGCCUGAGAGGGUGUACGGCCACAUUGGGACUGAGAUACGGCCCAGACUCCUACGGGGGGCAGAAGUGGGGAAUAUUGCACAAUGGGCGCAAGCCUGAUGCAGCGACGCCGCGUGGGGGAUGACGGCCUUCGGGUUGUAAACUCCUUUCGCUAGGGACGAAGCGUUUUUGUGACGGUACCUGGAGAAGAAGCACCGGCUAACUACGUG
rnacentral:rRNA from 1 species